rnacentral:rRNA from 1 species
AUUCCAGCUCCAAUAGCGUAUAUUAAAGUUGUUGUGGUUAAAAAGCUCGUAGUUGGAUUUCGGCGGGUAUUGGUCGGUUUGAAUUGCUUCAAUACUGACUUUUUUACCCGUGUGUUUUGCCAGAAUUUAACGGGUGAUCUUCGCCGAUUGUCUGUUAGAACUGGCAGGUUUACUUUGAAAAAAUUAGAGUGCUCAAAGCAAGCUUGAUUGCUUGAAUAUUCGUGCAUGGAAUAAUAGAAUAGGAAGUCGUUUCUAUUUUGUUGGUUUUCGGAAAUCGACUUAAUGAUUAAUAGGGACAGUCGGGGGCAUUUGUAUUCAAACGACAGAGGUGAAAUUCUUGGACCGUUUGAAGACAAACUACUGCGAAAGCAUUUGCCAAGAAUGUUUUCAUCA